rnacentral:rRNA from 1 species
UACGAAGGGUGCAAACGUUGCUCGGAAUUAUUGGGCGUAAAGCGCACGUAGGCGGCAUUGCAAGUCGGAUGUGAAAUCCCUCGGCUCAACCAAGGAAGUGCAUCCGAAACUGCUGUGCUUGAGUACUUAAGAGGAUCGCGGAAUUCCCGGUGUAGAGGUGAAAUUCGUAGAUAUUCGCAAGAACACCAGUGGCGAAGGCGGCUCACUGGCCCGAUACUGACGCUGAGGCACGAAAGCGUGGGGAGCAAACAGG